GGUUGUUUGGCCGAGCGGUCCAAGGCGCCUGAUUCAAGAAAAUAUCUUGACUGCAGUUAAUUGUAGGAAUACUCGGUAUCGUAAGAUGCAAGAGUUCGAAUCUCUUAGCAACCA
rnacentral:tRNA from 1 species